rnacentral:rRNA from 1 species
UUCCGUUAUUGGGAGGAGCCUAUGUGGGAUAAGCUAGUUGGGGAGUGAACGGCUCCACCAAGGCCACGAUCCGUAGUUGGUUUGAGAGGAUGUUCAGCCACAUCGGGAUUGAGACAGGCCCCGAACUCUUACGGGAGGCAGCAGUGGGGAAUAUUGGACAAUGGGGGGAACCCUGAUCCAGCCAUGCCGCGUGUGUGAAGAAGGCCCUCGGGUUGUAAAGCACUUUCAGCGAGGAAGAACGCCUAGCGGUUAAUGCCCGAUAGGAAAGACAUCACUCGCAGAAGAAGCACCGGCUAACUCCGUGCCAGCAGCCGCGGUAAUACGGAGGGUGCAAGCGUUAAUCGGAAUUACUGGGCGUAAAGCGCGCGUAGGUGGCUUGAUAAGCCGGUUGUGAAAGCCCCGGGCUCAACCUGGGAACGGCAUCCGGAACUGUCAAGCUAGAGUGCAGGAGAGGAAGGUAGAAUUCCCGGUGUAGCGGUGAAAUGCGUAGAGAUCGGGAGGAAUACCAGUGGCGAAGGCGGCCUUCUGGACUGACACUGACACUGAGGUGCGAAAGCGUGGGUAGCAAACAGGAUUAGAUACCCUGGUAGUCCACGCCGUAAACGAUGUCGACCAGCCGUUGGGUGCCUAGCGCACUUUGUGGCGAAGUUAACGCGAUAAGUCGACCGCCUGGGGAGUACGGCCGCAAGGUUAAAACUCAAAUGAAUUGACGGGGGCCCGCACAAGCGGUGGAGCAUGUGGUUUAAUUCGAUGCAACGCGAAGAACCUUACCUACUCUUGACAUCCUGCGAAUUCGGUAGAGAUACCUUAGUGCCUUCGGGAACGCAGAGACAGGUGCUGCAUGGC